CGUCCCUGCAGCCAGCAAAGGAGCGGGCCGCCUCCUGGUUGCCACGUGCGGCAACGGAUGGGGAGCCGGAGGGAGUGAAGACCCCAGGGAAAGGGCCGCUGGGGGAACUGCCGCCCGGGAGGACCCACGUGGAGCAGUGUUCUCUUGGAGGGCUGGAUAAAAAGAUGGCAACAAAAUUGUAUUCUGUUGGUUGAAGCUUUUUAAGGUAAAUCUUUUUAUUCCUUCUGUUGAAAUAGACUUCACAUAUUACUUUCCUUUAAACCACUAAAGUG
rnacentral:lncRNA from 1 species